CUCACUACUAUUUAUGGUGUUACAGAUCAUGAUCUCAAGCCUUUAUUUUGGGAUGAGCUUGUAAAGUCAGAUCGAUGUUUUCAGGCCCCUGGAUUGUCAGUGGUGACUUCAAUGCCACCAAAAAAUUAUUUGAGAGAAUCAAAAAUCCUUAACCUAGAAGGAUUACUCUUCGCCUCAAUUGCCUCAUUAAAGAUCUUUUGCUAAUUGAUCUUCCUCUUA
rnacentral:lncRNA from 1 species